rnacentral:rRNA from 1 species
AAAUUGAAGAGUUUGAUCAUGGCUCAGAUUGAACGCUGGCGGCAGGCCUAACACAUGCAAGUCGAGCGGAAACGAGUUAUCAGAACCUUCGGGGAACGAUAAUGGCGUCGAGCGGCGGACGGGUGAGUAAUGCCUAGGAAAUUGCCCUGAUGUGGGGGAUAACCAUUGGAAACGAUGGCUAAUACCGCAUGAUGCCUACGGGCCAAAGAGGGGGACCUUCGGGCCUCUCG